GUGUACGGCCAUACCACCCUGAAGGCACCUGAUCUCGUCUGAUCUCGGAAGCUUAGCAAGGUUGGGCCCAUUUAGUACUUGGAUGGGAGACCGCCUGGAAAAACCGGGCACUAUAAGUU
ensembl:rRNA 5S_rRNA 5S ribosomal RNA